rnacentral:rRNA from 1 species
AUUGAACGCUGGCGGCAUGCCUUACACAUGCAAGUCGAACGGUAACAGGUCUUCGGAUGCUGACGAGUGGCGAACGGGUGAGUAACACAUCGGAACGUGCCUAGUAGUGGGGGAUAACUACUCGAAAGAGUGGCUAGUACCGCAUGAGAUCUACGGAUGAAAGCAGGGGAUCGCAAGACCUUGUGCUACUAGAGCGGCCGAUGGCAGAUUAGGUAGUGGGUGGGAUAAAAGCUUACCAAGCCGACGAUCUGUAGCUGGUCUGAGAGGACGAUCAGCCACACUGGGACUGAGACACGGCCCAGACUCCUACGGGAGGCAGCAGUGGGGAAUUUUGGACAAUGGGCGCAAGCCUUAUCCAGCAAUGCCGCGUGCAGGAUGAAGGCCUUCGGGUUGUAAACUGCUUUUGUACGGAACAAAAGCCCUGGGUUAAUACCCUGGGGUCAUGACGGUACCGUAAGAAUAAGCACCGGCUAACUACGUGCCAGCAGCCGCAGUAACAC